rnacentral:rRNA from 1 species
CUGCAUGUACCGUAUGAAUAAGCAUCGGCUAACUCCGUGCCAGCAGCCGCGGUAAUACGGAGGAUGCGAGCGUUAUCCGGAUUUAUUGGGUUUAAAGGGUGCGUAGGCGGCCUGUUAAGUCAGCGGUGAAAUCUAGGAGCUUAACUCCUAAAUUGCCAUUGAUACUGGCGGGCUUGAGUGUAGAUGAGGUAGGCGGAAUGCGUGGUGUAGCGGUGGAAUGCAUAGAUAUCACGCAGAACUCCGAUUGCGAAGGCAGCUUACUAAGGUACAACUGACGCUGAAGCACGAAAGCGUGGGUAUCAAACAGGAUUAGAUACCCUGGUAGUCCACGCAGUAAACGAUGAUAACUGGGCGUAUGCGAUAUACAGUAUGCUCCUAAGCGAAAGCGUUAAGUUAUCCACCUGGGGAGUACGCCGGCAACGGUGAAACUCAAAGGAAUUGACGGGGGCCCGCACAAGCGGAGGAACAUGUGGUUUAAUUCGAUGAUACGCGAGGAACCUUACCCGGGAUUGAAAUGUAGAUGACCGCUCCUGAAAGGGAGUUUUCCUUCGGGACAUCUAUGUAGGUGCUGCAUGGUUGUCGUCAGCUCGUGCCGUGAGGUGUCGGCUUAAGUGCCAUAACGAGCGCAACCCCUGUCUACGGUUGCCAUCAGGUAAUGCUGGGAACUCCGUAGAGACUGCCGUCGUAAGGCGUGAGGAAGGUGGGGAUGACGUCAAAUCAGCACGGCCCUUACAUCCGGGGCGACACACGUGUUACAAUGGUAAGGACAAAGGGCAGCUACCUGGCGACAGGAUGCGAAUCUCUAAACCUUAUCACAGUUCGGAUCGGAGUCUGCAACUCGACUCCGUGAAGCUGGAUUCGCUAGUAAUCGCGCAUCAGCCAUGGCGCGGUGAAUACGUUCCCGGGCCUUGUACACACCGCCCGUCAAGCCAUGGGAGUCUGGAGUACCUAAAGUCCGUAACCGCAAGGGUCGGCCUAGGGUAAUACAGGUGACUGGGGCUAAGUCGUAACAAGGUAGCCGUACCGGAAGGUGCGGCUG